rnacentral:rRNA from 1 species
AUACGGAGGGUGCAAGCGUUGUUCGGAAUCACUGGGCGUAAAGCGCGUGUAGGCGGUCUCUUAAGUCUGGUGUGAAAGCCCGGGGCUCACCCCCGGAAGGGCACUGGAUACUGAGAGGCUAGAGUACCGGAGAGGAGGGUGGAAUUCCUGGUGUAGCGGUGAAAUGCGUAGAUAUCAGGAGGAACACCGGUGGCGAAGGCGGCCCUCUGGACGGCUACUGACGCUGAUACGCGAAAGCGUGGGGAGCAAACAGGAUUAGAUACCCUGGUAGUCCACGCCCUAAACGAUGGGUACUAGGUGUUCGGGGUAUUGACCCCUCGAGUGCCGCAGCUAACGCAUUAAGUACCCCGCCUGGGGAGUACGGCCGCAAGGUUAAA